GGGGAUAGCCCGAUGAAAGUUGGAUUAAUACCGCAUAUAGCUAUAUAGUUGCAUGAUUAUGUAGGGAAAGAUUUAUUGGUAUAGGAGGAGUCUGCGGCACAUUAGCUAGUAGGUGAGGUAGAGGCUUACCUAGGCGACGAUGUGUAGCCGGUCUGAGAGGAUGAACGGCCACAAUGGAACUGAGACACGGUCCAUACUCCUACGGGAGGCAGCAGUGGGGAAUAUUGCACAAUGGGGGAAACCCUGAUGCAACAACGCCGCGUGAGUGGAGAAGGUUUUCGGAUUGUAAAGCUCUGUUAGCAGGGAAGAGGAAGGACGGUACCUGCAGAGGAAGCCACGGCUAACUACGUGCCAGCAGCCGCGGUAAUACGUAGGUGGCAAGCGUUGUUCGGAAUAACUGGGCGUAAAGGAUGCGUAGGCGGUUAAACAAGUUAUAUGUUAAAUAUAUAGGCUUAACCUGUAGAAAGCAUAUAAAACU
rnacentral:rRNA from 1 species